AGAGGAGUAAACCCUACUAAGCCCCGUUUUCGUUGGGCUCAUAGCCCAAAGGUCGCUGGUUCGAGUCCAGCUCCCGCUA
rnacentral:tRNA from 2 species